CUUCUUCUCUCCUUAUUGGCUGCUCGUCACAUAUCGCCCCGCCCACUCUGUUGUCUCCUGGCCCUCUUCCUGGAGAGUGUACAGCUCACCCGUGCCGUCAUUGCUCUGCGCCAGUUGAGUCAGGGCUUUCUUUCCCUCCUCCUCUCCUCAUGCGACUUCCACGUGUGGUUUUUCCCUUGCAGCUUGCGCCGGAUCAUUCCUGUACGGGAAGCGGCCUGAGUCAAAAAGGCUCCGUUGUUUCGCGCGGUUGCUCAGCUUGUCACAUAGAUCAUAGGGAGAGGCCUUCACGGAAACCAUAAGCUCUCAUGUGCCAUAAACUCGUGCAAGCAGCACCAUGUAAAGCGUUUUUUUCCCUUUUCUAGAUCAGUUGUAAUAGGACACCCAGCCUGAAGGGGAUAAUGAAAAACAGCAUGAAAUGGGGCAGAAAAAACUCCUAAAAGAUCAGUAGAGAAAAUAAUAAUGGGAUCACAUGCCCCACGUUUGUUGCAUUAGGACCUAUCUCAUUUUCGAGAGGAGGAAGUACACGUUGUCAACCAUUCAACUGACGCAAGACAGAACUCUUAAGAGCCAUCAUUUGGGGACUUUAAGGAAACACCAUCAAAGUCAUGCUGAUGAGAGGCUUUUUGUAAAGUUUAUUAAUUACAAUGCAGUUACAAUUACAGUCCGGGAACACUGUUUGAAUGAUACAUUAAAGUGCUGCAAGCAUUUAGCUCACCCA